GCCCGCAUGGCCCAGUGGUUAGGGCGCUCCGCUUCGAACGGAGAGAUCGCGAGUUCGAUCCUCGCUGUGGGCU
rfam:Thecamonas trahens ATCC 50062 unplaced genomic scaffold supercont1.11, whole genome shotgun sequence.